AUACGGAGGGUGCAAGCGUUAUUCGGAAUCAUUGGGUUUAAAGGGUCCGUAGGCGGACUAUUAAGUCAGAGGUGAAAUCCCACAGCUCAACUGUGGAACUGCCUUUGAUACUGGUAGUCUUGAGUUAUAUGGAAGUAGAUAGAAUGUGUAGUGUAGCGGUGAAAUGCAUAGAUAUUACACAGAAUACCGAUUGCGAAGGCAGUCUACUACGUAUAUACUGACGCUAAGGGACGAAAGCGUGGGGAGCGAACAGGAUUAGAAACCCCGGUAGUCC
rnacentral:rRNA from 1 species